rnacentral:tRNA from 1 species
GCGGGUGUAGUGUAGCCCGGUUAACACGCCUCCUUGUCACGGAGGAAAUCGUGGGUUCAAAUCCCAUCACCCGCG